GAUGAACGCUGGCGGCGUGCCUAAUACAUGCAAGUCGAGCGAACAGACGAGGAGCUUGCUCCUCUGACGUUAGCGGCGGACGGGUGAGUAACACGUGGAUAACCUACCUAUAAGACUGGGAUAACUUCGGGAAACCGGAGCUAAUACCGGAUAAUAUAUUGAACCGCAUGGUUCAAUAGUGAAAGACGGUUUUGCUGUCACUUAUAGAUGGAUCCGCGCCGCAUUAGCUAGUUGGUAAGGUAACGGCUUACCAAGGCGACGAUGCGUAGCCGACCUGAGCGGGUGAUCGGCCACACUGGAACUGAGACACGGUCCACACUCCUACGAGAGGCAGCAGUAGGGUAUCUUCCGCAAUGGGCGAAAGCCUGACGGAGCAACGCCGCGUGAGUGAUGAAGGUCGUCGGAUCGUAAAACUCUGUUAUUAGGGAAGAACAAAUGUGUAAGUAACUAUGCACGUCUUGACGGUACCUAAUCAGAAAGCCACGGCUAACUACGUG
rnacentral:rRNA from 1 species